AAUUUUCUGUUUUCUAUUUCUAAAAAAUAGUUUUAUGUAUAUAUUUUUCUAAUUUCACUUCAAGUUGGAUAGAACCUCUCUAUGAGCUGCCCAGGUGGUGAGAUGUGUUUGGCUUCCCUGAUGUUCCGCCGGCCCGAGCACCUUUGCCGUGUUUGCGUGCGCCUUUGUCUUGGCGCCAUUUUCCUUCUCGGAGGGCACAGCAGUAAACUCUGCCAUGGCUGGACUGGAAACCCACGAGAGGCAACGCUUAGGUGACAGUCACUGGCUCUGCUCUCCAGAAGCUCACCUCUAGAAGUAAUCAAAUAAGGCAUUGAACCGGGUCUCAAAGUCAAGCUGUGCUACUCCGAGGUUAGAGAUACACGUGGUCCCCUCCAUGUUGGGUAAGUUGGAGCAGAGUUCUCCCUCCUGGGUGGCCUCACACCUCUGUCUUGUUGGGCCACAGUAGCCUCUCAGGUGUGGACCGGGAUCACCCCUGCCAGUCCAGGAGGAGUAACAGGGCUUUAGCAGGAUAGUUGCCUCAGAGUACUUCCAUGUAAGGGGAUUGGCCGCCUCCCCUGCCCGGUGCACGCCAGGCCGCAUCAGUCACGGUGGGGUGGUCAAGCUCCCGGUAAGUCACUAGUCGCUGUUUUGCUUUUCUGGUAGGUUAGGAAGUUAACCCCCUCUUGGAGUUUUGUUGUUUCAAGUCAGAGAGAUAGAUUAAACAGCAGUUUUUGUGAGAAUAUUGGAGGAGCUCUAUCCGAGUGCAUCUCUCCACCAUGACAGCCAGGCCUCGCCCCCAAUAUGAAAACCUUUUUGACAAUAGUGUUCCUUUUAAAGACAUGGUAAUUUAAAAAAAAAAAAUAAAUGUGCAUGUUACAGUCAUUAUUCAUUUAUGCAAGGCCACCAUAGAUAAGUGAUGGCUAAUCUUGCCA